AAUUUGCCCUUACUUAAAAAUUCAAAUUUUCUUAAUAUUACCCUUAUUUUAUUUUAAACACAAUAACUUUUUUGUCUAAUCUAAAAUAAUUAACCUAAUUUUACCCACCCAUUUACUCAUCUCUCUACCCACCAGCCAUCACCCAUUCACCCUCUUCACCUUCACCCUCUUCAUCUCUUUCACCCUCCUCCCUCAAGAGUCACGACCACCGCCCCUCCCACCACCAUUCUCUCUCCUCCUUCACAACCACCUUCCAUCCCACCCACCGGCUUUCUGGGUUUUUUUUUUCGAUUUUCGGGUCCUCGUUCUUCUUCUUCAUUCAGUAACUGGUAGAUCUCACUCUUUCCCUCUCUUCUUUUUUUUUGUACGGUGUUUAAUUUAUCCGAUCUUAAUUUAGAUCGGAAUUUUUGUGUUCUGUUUUUCCAGAACUUGGUUUCUUCGAUCGAUUUUGAGGUUUGUUUUUGUUUUUGUUAUUCAAUUUUUUUUUUUUUGAUUUUGUUUUCACUACGAUCUGAAAACUUUGGAUUAACAUUCUGUUUCUUUCUUUGAUUUUUGAAAUUUUUAAUUUUGUUUUUUUUUUUUGAAUUCGAGUUAUUAUUUUGAGGUUAACUUUGGAUUGAAUUGAGUGUUGUUUUGAUGGAUCUGUGUGUAUAGUUGAGAGUGUUUGGGUGGUCUGGGUUAGAGGUGAGUUUGGGUGGUGGGGUGGUCUGGGUUAGAGGUGGGUUUGAGGGGUGGGUGGUCUGGGUUGGAGGUGGUUAGGGGUGGUGGUGGAGGGGAAUGAUAGAUUUCUGGGUUUUUUGGUUAGGGAGGGGGCUGCUGGAAAAAGGAGGGAAAGACGUGAGGGUGGUGGUGGUUUCGUGGGGUUGGUUGUGGUGGUUUCGUGGGGGUGGUAGUGGUGGUGGUGAAGCCGGCGGUGGUUUUGGUGAAGCCAGCGGUGGUGGUGGCUGGGCAUGGUGGUGGCAGUGGGUGGUUUGAUUAAUUAACCAAACAUUCUCUCUCCACCUUAAUUACAUACUCCUAUAAUAUAUUAAUCACCAUUAUACUUUCUUAAUCUUUGCCCUUCAAUCUUUUGCCUCGUGAACCGCAACUUGUGCCAAAGUUGCACAUAAAAAAAAACGGAGGUAGUAUAUAUUUUAUGUUGUGUAUGUCAUGUUGUAUUGUUUGUUUGCAAUGUGAUUGAUGAAGUGGAUUAUGAUAACAUGGAAGGUUGAGAAGUGAGAGAUAAUGUGUUGCACUAUAGAGAUAAGUAAGAAUUCUUGGAUGAUUAGAAAAUUGAGAUUUGAGUUGUUUUGGGGCUAGAAAUGGAGUGGUGAUGGAUAAGGCCAGUUCGCGGUUAUGUAAUUGCUGGUAUUUAUAGGUAUUUUCUGUAGUUAUACUGAUCAAUUUGAGUUAUAUGUGUAGGAAGGAUUGUACUUUAAAUGGAUUUUAGCUUUUAAUUUUUUACUUAGGUUAUUUAGAAUGCUAAAAUUGAUAAGUGGUAAGCAUUAUCUUUGGGUUGGAUCAGAUUUACAGUUUGAAGCUUAAUUAUACUCAUACUGCAAUUUUUUAUUAUUUUGAUUUUAAGACAUUAGUGCUCCUGGAUUUCUGGACAUGGAACGAGGUACUAAAGAAUAGUGGGAUAUGGAACGAGGUACUAAAGAAUAGUGGGAUAUGGAACGAGGUACUAAAGAAUUGGACAUCAGAUUUUUUUACACUUUAACCUUUGCCUUUAAGAAUGUUGGGGAUGUUAGUGGAGAUGAGACUUAAGAUUGUGAAAUGUGACUUUUCAAAGUUGUUGGAUAAGAGCUCAAUGACAUAUUAUAAUUGAAAUUUUUGUCAUAUUUGUGAAGUUAUGAGAGAUUUAACAAGCUGAUUUGUUGCUAAAAUUUUCUAUGUGCAAUUAACGUUGAUAUUCUCAAGCAAGAAGAACUUCAUAUGAGUUAACAAGCGGAUUUGUUGUUGAAUCGAAGCUAGGAAUUGAAUUGAAUAAGGUUUGAUUUGUUUAGUUUUUGAAUUUGAACAUUGAAAUUUGUUGUUUGUUUGGUUAAGCACUUAAGCUUGCAUUGUUCUAUGUAAUUUGGGAAGGAAUCUUGGGUUUUGCAGGAAAUGGCUGUAAGAUUCAUGGAUUACAUUACAGAGGAUAAACUUCAUGCUAAUAAUGUCCAUUUUUUGCCUUUAAACAAGUAUUUGAUUUCCUUUAUCGGUUUUCAUCGGUAUUCUCUGUUUCAAAAUUCAGGCUAUUCUGUGUAUUCUUUAUAUCACAAGGUGAUUUUGGGCUAUAUUUCUCGUCUACCGAGCUCGGUUUCUAUUCUUCUCAAUAACAUAAGCAGAACCUAUCUGAAAAAAAAAAAAAUGACUAGAGUCUAUAGCAUUGCACAAACUUUACUCUUGUAAAGAACCUGCUAGAUGCCUAGAUAGUACUCUCAUUAUACUGCUGAAUCCUUGCUUUAUUUAUAUGCAAUGAUAAGGUUGUUUCAGCCUUUCAGGUGCUCUUAUUGGUGUCAUUUUAUCACUCUAAUCUCUACUUCUUUGUUAAUGAUCCCAGGACAUACUGACAUGAGCUAAAUGAGGUUGGGAGAAAACAAGCCGUCAUAGUAAGUCAGUUAUGCUAUUCUGCUCUGGUCUAGGUUAUCUUGUUGAGUCCUUGAAUAUAAUCCUUUUUUUUUAAGGUUGCUGAGAGACUAUCAAAGGAGUCUAAUAUAUCCACUAUAUAGUCAUCUGAUUUGAAUAGGACUCUCAAGACAGCAGAAACAAUAGCAUCUAGAUAUUGGCUUGAGGUUUGUUACUUAUCAAUGAAAAUAAUACAACUUUAUCUCUCUUUGGGUAUAACAAGGGGAGCUUAUAUUGGGGCUUGAAUUUGAUGAGAUGAACUAGAAUUUCAGUAGAGUAUGUGGUAAUAUUUCGGAUUCAAAAACCAAGAGUUACAUUAAAAAAAAAAAAAAAAAUAAAUAAAUAAAAAAAAUUAACAAAAAAUUAACAAAAAAAAGAAAAGAAAAAUGUUGAAGUGACUUUCCUUAGUGGCAGGUAUUAGCUAUAGUGUAAACCUUUGAUUACAGUUUAAAUAUGCAUGUAUUAGAUUAAUUUGUUAUACCAGAAGUGUACUGAUCUUAUAUGUUUACAUGGUAAUUAGCUGCUCAUCAGUUUUAUAUGGGUUUCUGGCAAAACUUUUGCUUGCCAAACCUUGCAUCUUGCUGUCUUUUCUCUUAUUAAUGAAUGAACAAAACAACCUCAGGGCUAUUAAUGUGGUUUAUUUUAUUGCAGAGAGAGAAAAUGGGGUAGAUCAGAUAGUUGCGUGGAUUAUUGAUAUAAAUGGUUUCUUCUGACUCUGGCCGUUUAUAGUUUAUUCCCUUCCAAGCUUGAGCCCGCCACUGGUCAUAUGUAAUCCAUUGUCUACCAAUAAGUUGGUCACCAAAUCUCUAUGAGUGAUAAGAGGCUUCUACAACUGGAACCGCAUCAAACUAAGAUACUGCGAUGGAGAUUCCUUCGUUGGCAAUUCGAAGUUUGACAAUGGGACCUCAGUGCUUUGCUUUAGAGGAUAAAAAAAUUGGCAAGCAAUGAUUCUUGAUCUUCUUCCAAAAGGGUUGGCACAUGCAGAGAAGGCAAAGAUGAAAGUCACUCUGCUAGACAUGGUAGAUGGGCUAAUUAGCUUGGUAGAAAGUGAAAAUGAGAUAAUUGACAGGUGGCAUUGCGGAAGUUUUGAGGUUGCUGUCCAUUGGCAGUGGUAGAUUAUGAUAAAAGUAGAUUAGUCCUACUAUUGUAUUGGAUUGGAAUUGUAGUGUAGAAGUGUUUGUGGAUUAUGGAUUUCAGACAGGAAGUGUUGGUAAUUUUGUUGUAUAGUUGGCCAGUUGGGGAGUAUAACUAGAGCUGAUAUGUUGGGUUCUUUUUCUUUGGAGACUUGUUAUUGAUCAAUCAAUGUAAUUAAUUUUUAUUUUACAUUUUGUGUCAUUUGAGCUAAUUCUUUCAA